rnacentral:rRNA from 1 species
CGGCGGACGGGUGAGUAACGCGUGGGUAACCUGCCUCAUACAGGGGGAUAACAGUUAGAAAUGGCUGCUAAUACCGCAUAAGACCACAGUACUGCAUGGUACAGUGGUAAAAACUCCGGUGGUAUGAGAUGGACCCGCGUUGGAUUAGCUUGUUGGUGGGGUAACGGCCCACCAAGGCGACGAUCCAUAGCCGGCCUGAGAGGGUGAACGGCCACAUUGGGACUGAGACACGGCCCAG